AUUGCCCGUAGGAAAGCACAGGUGCUGCGAGCCACGAUGCAUGGUGACGAACCGGUAGCGUCCAGGGUCGUCAACCACAUCGGGGUGGCACCCGUCUACGAUCCCGUUAAGAACACACUAUUUGUUCCAUACGGAAUGCUCGUAAUCCCAUUGUUCACUGACGCU